UGAGCUCCCUAAUGUUAUUCAUAGCAGCAUCUGCCACAGGGAAGCGUUUCUGGGGGAAAGGUGUCAAAAACAUGACACCUUCCAAUCAUGGUUGGAAAGAGGAGUUUCAAGCAGUAAAGUGCUGACGCUGCAUCCCUUGGGGCAUGAACUGCGUUUCUUCUAGGUGUCUGACUGUCAAAUCUGCUGCAGCACAUGUUUUUCCUCUCUUCCUUUUACUUUAUUGAGGACGGCAUCAGUUAACAGCUGUUUAAAAAAUAACCGAGCAGGUUGUGGCGGGAAGGGACAGAAGUUGUUGCUGCAUAAACACAAAGAUGGCUUUUUUGGCAAAGAUGAAGAUCAUUCGGUUUUUCAUUCGGGGCUGUUUUAGAAGAAGAGAGGCAUCUUUGGUGUGAAAGAGCUGGCAGGACUUCGCAGGCAGGCAGUUCUGUCACUUUGCUGCAUCUUGGACACUGAUUUGGAUCUCCAGCCAUCCAAGUAGAGGUGGUGGGAACCUCAUAUCCUGCGUUUGCCAAGAUUGUCCCUGGGCACUGUGCAAGUCUUAAUGCUUUGUUCAGGCUGAAAGAAGGUAACACAUCUACAGGGCUGAAAAAGAGCUGGAUUUCACAGACAGGUAGUGAACUCUAAAGCAUUUUAUUCCCUCCAAAUAUGAUUUCCUAUAUGUGCAGAAAGGGAUUUACUUCCCCAAGGAAGAAGAAAAGAAAGGAAGAAAAACCACAACCCAUGCCACCAUCUCAUUAAAUACAUAAAAAAUUAACUGUCCUCAUUAUAACUAACAUUCCGCUUCCUCUAUUAUUGCCUUAUAUUUCAGAGCAUUCAAAACUUGCCAUUUAUAGAAAUAUCCCAAGUGAAUAAUAUAUGGUCCCUGAUUGACCUUAAAUGUAUAAUUCAAUCAUGGGCUCUUAGUGACAUUGGGAACCACCAGGGUACAACUUCAGGGUUUAUGAAUGGCAGGAAAACUCCCAGGUUGAAUUACGGCUUUGUUAUUCAAUCUGAGAACACAUUUCAUUAUUUAUAGAAUAUAGAAAAAUUGUAUGGGCUCCUUUCAGGUGAAAAAUGAUAAAUCAGCAUAACGAUAAUCACUUCUGAUUUUAAAUGUAAAGUCUAUGAAGCAAGGAGAGAAGUAUUAAUGUGCACACAAUGCAUGGUUAUGGAGGUGUGAUGGGGAAGGCAGAGGAUGGAUUAUAGGGAAAUCAAAGGAAGUAUUUCACUGGAAAGUAAGCCCUUUCUGUGGAAGUUAUUAGAUGACCAAUGACUUCAACUAGUCCUAAAACCAUAGUAACAAAACCCAAACAGAAAGACAGUCUGCACCAGUGGCUUCUCCCUCCCAAAACACCUCAGGUCUAUCUUUAGUUAAGAAUGUGCUUUUUAUAUAUUUGCCAGUGGUUGUACCCUUUUGUAUCUCCUGUACUGCUGUUGCUUUGGGAGAUUCUGCAGAUCUGUUGAUGCCAACCGGAAACCAAGAAAACAUCAGGCUGGCACACAAGAACUGUUGCAAACUUCUGACAAUAUGAAUUCAAAUGUACUUUUCGU